UGAUCUGUAGUUUUAACAAGCUCCUCAGGUGAUUCUGAUACACAGCAAAGUCUGAGCACCACUGGCUGAGAGCACAUCUCCAGAGGAGAAAGCUGUGAUCCCUUAGCAGCUGAUCUCAAGCAGUGUUGGUUCAACAGCCCUGUGACAGGAAUCAACGUGGUCUGCCCACAGCACCCUCUACGUGUGUCGUAUGCUUCGGUUGUACGACAAUACCAUGUCUCACUCUACUUCGUUCAAGUGUCAAAUGCCACCUUACUAGAGAGAGACUCCUUCCUUGAGUUUUGUAUGCCUUCUUGCAAAGCAAAUUCUACACCUCAUUUCACCUACAUUUGCCCAAGCACAGAAAGGGUGAGUCAGGGAGAUGGGCAGAGGGAGAGAGACAAAGAAUCCCAAGAAUUCAGUGCUAUAUUGAAUAGGAGUGGUAAUGGCAGAGAGAACCGCCUUCUUUUUCAAAGAUAGAGGAGGACUUGUUCAGCAAGAGGAAAAGACAGCAUAGCAGUCUCUGAAGGGCCACGUUGAGUGUGCCUGUGAUUGCUGCUCCUAUCAAUUGUUGUCCUGUCACCAGAAGAUGCCAAAGAAACACAACAUGUGCAUGUCACAGGGAGAGUAAGUUUAAAGCAGAAGCUAACCUAACUGCCUGGAAAAAACAUCUUCAAAAGAGAAGAUCAUUUCAUUUAUACGUUUUGUGGUCUGAAAGUCCAAAAGGACCAGUGCUUAUUUUCCUCAGUCUGCUGCAGGUGACCUUAGUAGAAAAGUCAGAGCGCUACCUCCAUCUCUGUCUGCCAUGUGAGAACACAAGGAGAACUCAGAAGUCUACAGAUAAAAAAAGAAGUCACCAUGCUGACAACCUGAUAUCUGAGUUCCAGCCUCCACAACUUGAGAAGUACUUUCUGUUCAUUCUCCAAAACAUACUCAGUCAAAAUUCUAGGAAGCUGUUGUAUAGCUAUCAACAAAUUAUCAGUUUUUAUGGAAAGACAAAUGACCUAGAGUAGAAAACACAACACUGAAGAUGUUCGAAAAUUCACAGAACACAAUUUUUAAAUACUCACUAUAAAGCUAUGCUAAUCAAUCCAGUGUGAUAUUGGCUACAGAAGAGAUCAGUGGAAUAAAAGAACUAUCUCAGUUAAAGACCCAUGCAAAUAUAAUCAACUAUUUUGACAAAGGAGCAAAAGCAAUUAACUGAAUAAAGAAUUGUCUUUCACAAAACUGGAGAGUGACAUGGUGAUGUAAAUUAUUCCUGAUUUUGCUCCAUCUCACAAGAACAAAAACCAACAACUAUUCAAGAACAAAACACCACAAGGACAAUCCUAGAACAUGGCGUGAGGCUGAAGACAUGGCUCUGCACCAUAAAAACCAAGACAAACUGCAUUAGAAGGGUAAGAGAAGAGGCCAGAGGUUGACCCCAUUGCCCCUCCCCACAGGCUAGUGCCACACCACAUGGAAAGAUCUCCCCUGAGCCUCCAGUUCCUCAAGAGGGAAAAAAGAGCCAGAAAGGACAACCACCCUGAGCAUUGUGACUCAUUUCAUAGAAGCCCCUACUCUAAUUUCACAUCACAGGGUUUGCAGGGAAAUCUUUGGCCUCAACCAUUGGAAAUCUGACUGAUAGAGCAGGGGGUGAGUGCUUGCAAAAACUUGCACAGGACCUUGGCAGACCAAAUCCAUACCUAUAGUGCCCAAGUAGUAAUCUCAACCAUUGGCUUUGCUAAUAUGCAAAAACAAAUAGCACACUGUGGGGCUCCUGGGUGGCUCAGUUGGUUAAGCAUCUGACUUCGGCUCAGGUCAUGAUCUCGAGGUUCAUGAGUUCAAGCCCCAGGUCAGGCUUUGGGUUG